UCCUCUAUUCGGCUGAAUUCAAAAGUAUAUAAAUUCACUAUUGAUUAAUGUGACAACCGGUUCUUCCGGCCGGUUCAACUGAACCGGCCGGCCCACCCUUUAUAAUCCCGCGAACAGAAGGAUCGCGGAACAGAACUGUUCGCGCGAAACAGAGAGGGGCGCGACGACGGCUUCGUGCGUAGAACAAGGUAGGUUUUUCUUUUCUCUGAUUUUAGCAAGUGAUUAUCUUCAAGAGUAAGAAAUAGUAAUUCCUUUUCAUUCUUAUAGUUAUCAGAGUGUUAUUUUGGGAGAGAUUGGAAGAACGAGAGAAACGGACGAUAAGGCUUAAGGGAAAGAUAAGGAAAGAAUUGAAGCGAAGAAAGAGGAAAUUGGAAGAUAAGGGAUUUUGGGAGUUUGAGAAGUUCUCAAUUGUAAGUGAAUUAUUAAUACUUGUUAUCGAAUCACAAUUUUAUUGAUAUGAAAAUCAUUGUAUGAAUUUAGGUUUUAGAAAGUGAAUGAUCAAGUUGUAGGUGUUGAUCCCGCGAGGAUUCAACAAGAAGAGAAAUUGAUUCAAGAGAAGAUCAAGCAUUGAAGACCUGAAGAGUUCAAAGUGGAUAAAUUAUAUUAUUUUAUGUUUUAUUAAUGAUUUCAAUUUUCUAAAUAAUUGAUUAAACAUCUUAUAUUAUUAAAUGUUGAAGGCAAACGUUUAUGAUUUUACCGUCUUAAGAAAGAAUCUAUAUGUUAUAAAGAUUUAAAGGCUUAUGGAAAAGGAAAAGAAUUAUUUAUGCAAAUGCAUGUUAAUUAUAUUAUAUGAAAUAGAAAUAAUCAAGAUGAAAAUGAGAAAAAGAAAAGAAAAA